CCCUGUUCUAAAUAGCGCGCUAUAGCGGACGCUAUAGCGCUAUUUAGCGUUUGUGGAAGAGGACUGCUAAGCUAUGGGGAUUUUAACGCUAAAUGAUUGUUCCCGCUAUUAGCAGCUAAUAGCGCGCUAAUUUCGCUAAAUUGAGUUAGUUUAGCGCCGCUAUUUGGUCUUAGGAUUCAUUUCUAUCGACCCAAAUAACUUGGAGGCCCAAAUAGCAGAGAUAUACCCCUAUGUGAUGUAUGUUAUUAUUGAUGUAUCAUGUAUGAACUACGAACUUUGAUGUAAUAUGUUAGUAACCCUUUGAAAUAUCUAUCACUAUUGGUCUUCAUAAUGUUUUCAUCUUUAUUAUGUAUAAAAUUACAUGAUGUUUGACAUAUUUUUUGCUCGGCCGCUAAAUGGCUUAGCCCGCUAUUAGCGCGCUAUAGCUUUUCUUAGCCUUUUAGAGAGGCUGCCGCUAAGAAGCUUAGCACGCUAUUUAAAACACUGA
rnacentral:lncRNA from 1 species